AGAGUUUGAUCAUGGCUCAGGACGAACGCUGGCGGCGUGCUUAACACAUGCAAGUCGAACGCUGAAGCUCAGCUUGCUGGGUGGAUGAGUGGCGAACGGGUGAGUAACACGUGAGUAACCUGCCCCCUUCUUUGGGAUAACGCCCGGAAACGGGUGCUAAUACUGGAUAUUCACUGGCCUUCGCAUGGGGGUUGGUGGAAAGGUUUGUUCUGGUGGGGGAUGGGCUCGCGGCCUAUCAGCUUGUUGGUGGGGUGAUGGCCUACCAAGGCUUUGACGGGUAGCCGGCCUGAGAGGGUGACCGGUCACAUUGGGACUGAGAUACGGCCCAGACUCCUACGGGAGGCAGCA
rnacentral:rRNA from 1 species